GUGGGGAAUUUUGGACAAUGGGCGCAAGCCUGAUCCAGCCAUGCCGCGUGCAGGAUGAAGGCCUUCGGGUUGUAAACUGCUUUUGUACGGAACGAAAAAGCUCUCUCUAAUACAGGGGGUGAAUGACGGUACCGUAAGAAUAAGCACCGGCUAACUACGUGCCAGCAGCCGCGGUAAUACGUAGGGUGCAAGCGUUAAUCGGAAUUACUGGGCGUAAAGCGUGCGCAGGCGGUUUUGUAAGACAGGCGUGAAAUCCACGGGCUCAACCUGGGAAUUGCGCUUGUGACUGCAAGGCUGGAGUGCGGCAGAGGGGGAUGGAAUUACGCGUGUAGCAGUGAAAUGCGUAGAUAUGCGGAGGAACACCGAUGGCGAAGGCAAUCCACUGGGCCUGCACUGACGCUCAUGCACGAAAGCGUGGGGAGCAAACAGGAUUAGAAACCCUGGUAGUCC
rnacentral:rRNA from 1 species